GUUGGGGAAUGCACUGGGACCCUGGUCAUGGAAAGGCGUUCCUCACCCCCCCCCCUCCCCCUCCUUGCUUCUCUUAUUUUUGUGUGUGUGUUAUUGCUUGUCCGUGGUUUCACUCUCACAUCUUGCCCCCUUCUUUCCGAACAGACACCUGUCUCAGACGCUGCUCCUUCCGUGACGAGCUGAUCCUGGCUUCGAACGGUAGCGGUUGAUGACCAUGUCGUUUCCCGGAGGCAAACGGGCCUGCUCCUGAAUAUACGACCGCGCCAUAACGGCAGCGGAGAGUACACGGCGUAUCAUGCGGGAGAAGGGGGCACGGGGAAGCAACCGCGGAGUAAGGUGUGGGUGCAGAACUUGGCGAGAAGGGGACGCGCCAUACUACCGCGGGCGUAGAAAGACUGCCGGGGUGGAGAGGAGGACGCGGCGCCGGGGUUCGGGCGAGGGAGUGGUCGCAGCCCUCGACGCACCGCGGACAUCACGGAUUUUUCGCAGCUGUGCGAUCGUAAAUAACGGCGCGAGCCGCCGGAGAGCUGCAGCCCGGACAGUUAUGCCGGCGGUCCGCUGACGAAUGACGUGUCCGCGGUGCCUUCCGACCCAUGGCCUGCGCGAGGUGUGUCGAACCGGAGACUAGCAGGGAAGACACGUCUGCGGGGAGUGCAAUGUAGUGUGGGUGCAUACGGGAACGGAUGCGGACUCCAUUCGCGUUCGACACCUUUCGGCUCGGAAGGACUCGGUGGGCGUUCGGCUACCAUCGGCCCGCUUCGGCAUCGAAAACCCCGGCCGGCACCCGUGCCGGAGCAUGGGGCAGAAGCGCUGCACUUGGAUCGUGCCCUGGAUCCGUGCUUCGAGAAGACGCGACUACGUUGAGCGCCAACGACCGAACGGCAGGCCGAGCUCCUCAAACGACACCUCUACGGACGGCAGUUGGAUAUCGCUGCCUACGGGACCCCCUUACGUGCACGUGCGAUAGACAUAGCCACACGAGUGGCUAUACAAGCGGCUAUCGCAGACACAUGUGGAUUGCGCUGGGGACCCCUUAGUGAGGAAACGCAAUAAUUUUUUUUUUCCAGGAAGGCGAGGUGGUAAGAUGAGGAAGCCAAUGUCGAAGAUUUUAACGAGAUAUAUAUAGGCUUAAACUCCCGAGACCCUAUGUGCAUCCCCGUGGCAGUUUUUUUGCCCUUUUCAAAACUCAUCUAGAAGUAAUAUCCAGAAAAAAAAUCUGGUCUAUAUAAUUUGCAGUGCCGCAGCCGGUAAAACGACGUGCCUUUCCGUCUGCUGUUGCGCUGUGCACGUCAUGGAUUACCAACUAUAGCCAGGUCUCACACCUUACUGCAAUAUAACUUGAAGGCAUCAUUUAUAAAUGAUUUAGUUAUCUCAUCGUUGCCACCCGUUUUUUUUUAAAGAAAAUGGAUAACACUUUGUGCAAGAGAAGCGAGUCAUCGCCGACGACGAAUGCCCGUGAUGUACAUAUAUAAUGAGAGGAGAGGGGGAGGGGACGCUGGUAAUCAGGAUUGGAGAGCCGGCACAACGAAUACCAAUGCGGUUAGCAUUAUCCCACGUGUUUAGGUAAACAAAAGUUUCUCAAUCGAAUAAAAUUGAUAGAUGGUCAAAAUUUUGUCCACGUUUACAUGGAGAUGUUGCAGUGCUCAUGUAUGCGGGCGACUUCGCUAAAACAGAAAAAAAAUAAAAAAAUACAUUUUUCAUCUUCGUAA